rnacentral:tRNA from 1 species
CAGGGAGACAACAAAAUGUUAAAUAUUAAUUUUGUCACCUUAGGUCGAUCGGUAUCUCACAUUCUUGAUUAUUUAAGGAUUUUAUUUCCUAAGUUUUUUCUAGGUCACACCCAUUACUUUUCCUGGGCCAUUAGCUCAGGUGGUUAGAGCGCACCCCUGAUAAGGGUGAGGUCCCUGGUUCAAGUCCAGGAUGGCCCAUAUCUCUAUGUUGGGGGUAUAGCUCAGUUGGUAGAGCGCCUGCUUUGCAAGCAGGAUGUCAGCGGUUCGAGUCCGCUUACCUCCACUGAUUACCACCUCUUCCAUAACUGGUAAAAAGGAAAUGUUUUGAGUUGUGAUCAAAUUCUGAAAGAAUCCAGCUUCCUAAUGAAAUCAUUAAGAUGCUGGACUCAUUGAAUUAAUUUCAUUGUUUUCAGAGAACCUUGACAACUGCAUAGAUUAUUUUUAAAGACAAUAAGCAUCUUUAAUGAUGCAGAUUUAUUAUUUGUGCGAAUGCAUUAAUAACAAUUCUAUUAAGCUGAUGCUUCAAUAUUUGAAGUUAUU